rnacentral:lncRNA from 1 species
GUGAGUAAUCUCUUGAUAUUGUAAUACCACCUAGGGAUAGGGGUAGGACGAUCAAUUGCGCUAACUUCUGUUUAUAAUGCGGUAUUAAUUACUAGGGGAGGCUAGGGAUAACAAGCCAGUAGUUAAUAUUAGGCCAUUUUCGCCGAGGGAUCGGGUUAAGGGGAGGCUAAGAAAGUCUCAUAACAAUUGAAUUAAUCAAACUAAUAUUCAAGGGUAGUAUGUAAGAGAGAGUGGAAUAGAUGAAAUUGUAAACCCCCAACAACAUCCAUUCAUCCAUUGUUUUAGUUUGUCAAUUGAAUCAACUUUAUUUUUGCAUGUUAAUAUUUUUGUUCUCAAAUCCAAUUUAUUAAUUUUUAUUUUUCAAGUCUUAUUAUUUUAAUUCACGCGAACAAGAAAGCCAUACGAGUCUCUUGGGAAAACGAUACUUGGUCUUACCAUUUAUAUUACUUGUAUGAUUUGGUACACUUGCCAAUUUGUCAACAUACACCCGCCUCCUUCCUCUACAGUACACCCUCCUCCUACCCCUGCAGCAGACCCUCCUCCUACCCCUGUGAUUAUUACCCCCACUCCUCCCCCUGACCCUACUUCUUUACCUUCUUCAUCUUCUAGACCACCUUCUGAGACUGCCACACCAUCUGCUGAUCUACAUUCACCUGGUGAUGAUGAUAGUGUUGAUUCGCCCCUCCAUGAUCGACC